rnacentral:rRNA from 1 species
ACGAGGUGUGCAAGCGUUGUUCGGAAUCACUGGGCAUAAAGGGUGCGUAGGCGGUGCGCCAAGUCAGGUGUGAAAUCCCUCGGCUUAACCGGGGAAUUGCAUUUGAUACUAGCGUGCUAGAGGGUAAAAGGGGCAAGCGGAAUUCUAGGUGUAGCGGUGGAAUGCGUAGAUAUCUGGGAGAACGCCGAGGGCGAAGGCAGCUUGCUGGUUUACUUCUGACGCUGAGGCACGAAAGCUAGGGGAGCAAACAG